GGGCACUUAGCUCAGUGGUGGAGUGCAUCUUUCACAUGGAUGAGGACAUAGGUUCGAUCCCUAUAGUGCCCACCA
rnacentral:tRNA from 1 species